rnacentral:lncRNA from 1 species
AUAGUCUUCAUCAAGAUCCUUAUUAUUUCUUGCUAUUUGUGAACCUCCCUGCUUUCAAGUCCUCUUCAAUUGUUUCUUCAGGCCAGACAUUCCAUAUGAGAAGGACUGAGAGUUCAAGAUAUUGUAUUUUCUACGGAUUGAAGAUUUGUGGCAACCCUAUAUCCAGCAAGACCGUUGGUGCCAUUUUUCCAACAGCGUGUGCUUACUUCAUGUCUCUGUGUCACAUUUUGAUAAUUCUCACAAUAUUUCAAACUUUUUCAUUAUCAUAUCUGCUGUAGUGAUCUGUGUUCAGUGAUCUUUAAUGCUACCAUUGUAAUUAUUUUCGGGCACCACGAACUGUGCCUUUGUAUUCCCUGAGACAGAACAGUAUUAAAAUUAGGCUAAUGAGUAACUUUACGAUGGCCUCUAACUGUUCAAGUGAAAGGAAGAGGCUCAUGUCUCUCACUUUAAAUCAAAAGCUAGAAGUGAUUAAGCUUAGUGAGAAAGGCAUGUCAAAAGCCAAGGCAGGCUGAAAGCUAUGCCUCUUGCACCACACAGCCAAGUUGUGAAUGCAAAUGAAACAUUAUUGAAAGAAUUUAAAAGUGCUACUCCAAUGAACACACGACUGAUCAGAAAGCAAAACAGCCUUAUUGCUGAUAUGGAGAAAGUAUGAGUGGCUGGGAUAGAAGAUUAAACCAGCCAUAAUGUUCCUUAAGCCAAAGCCUAAUCUGGAGAAAGACUCGAACUCUCUUCAAUUUAAUGAGGCUGAGAGGGGUGAGGAAGCUGCACAAGAAAAGUUUGAGGCUAACAGAGAUUAGUUAAUGAGUUGUUUCCGUAACAUGAAAGUGCAAGAUGAAGCAGCAAAUGCUAAUGUAGAAGCUGCAGCAAGUUAUCCAGAAGAUCUGGCUAAGAUCAUUGGUGAAGGUGGCUUCACUAAAAAAUAGAUUUUCAGUACAAACCAAACAGCCCUCUAUUGGAAGAAGAUGCUCUCUAGAAAUUUUACAGCUAGAGAGGAGAAGUCAAUGUCUGACUUCGAAGCUUCAAAAAAUAGGCUGAUUCUCUUGUUAAGGUAUAAUGCAGCUGGUGACCUUAAGUUGAUGCUUAAAUGCUCAUUUAUCAUUCUGAAUAUCCUAGGACCCUUAAUAAUUAUGCUAAAUCUACUCUGCCUAUGCUGUAUAAAUGGAACAACAAGACCUGGAUGAUAGCAUAUCUGUUUAUAGUAUGGUUUGUUGCAUAUUUUAAUCCCACUAUUGAUACCUACUGCUCAGAAAAAAGGAUUCUUUACAAAAUGUUGCUGCUCAUUGACAAUAUACCUGUUCACUCAAGAGCUCCGAUGGAGAUGCACAGGAGAUUAAUGUUUUUAUGCCUGCAAAGACAACAUUCAUUAUGUAGUCUAUGGAUCAAGGAGAAAUUUUGACUUUCAAAUAUUAUUAUUUAAUAAAUACAUUUUGUAAGGCUACAGCUGCCAUAGUGAUUCCUCUGAUGAAUCUGGGCAAACUAAAUGGAAAAGCUUCUGGAAAGGAUUCACCAUUCCAGAUGCCAUUGAGAACAUUCAUAAUCGAGGCUAGGAGGUGAAAAUAUCAAUGUUAACAUGAGUUUGGAAGAAGUUAAUUCCAAUCUUUAUGGAUGAGUUUGAGGGAUUCAAGACUUCUUUGGGAGAAGUAACCACAGAUGUAGUGGAAACAGCAAGAAAACUAGAAGGGUAGCCUAAAGAUGUGACUGAAUUGCUGCAAUCUCAUGGUCAAACUGUAAUGAGUGAGGAGUUGCUUCUUACAUAUGAGCAAAGAAAGUGGUUUCUUGAGAUAGAAUCUAUUCCUGGUGAAGAUUCUGUGAACAAUGUUGAAAUAAUGGCAAAGUAUUUCAAAUAUUACAUAAACUUAGUUGAUAAAGCAGUGGCAGGAUUUGAGAGGAUUGACUCCAGUUUCAAAAGAAGUAAAAGAAGUUGUGCUGUAAAUAAAAUGCAAUCAAACAGCAUUGCGUACCACAGAUAAAUCUUUCAUGAAAGGAUGAGUCAAUUGAUGCCGCAAACUUCAUAGUUGUCUUAUUGCAAGAAAUUGCCAUAGCCUUCCCAACCUUCAGCAACCACCAGCCUGAUCAGUUAGCAGUCAUCAACAAUGAGGCAAGACCCUCCACCAGCAAAAGGUUAUGACUUGCUGAAGGCUCAGAUGAUCAUUACCAUUUUUUAGCAAUAAAGUAAUUUUAAAUUAAGGUAUACACAUUGUUUUUUAAAGACAUAAUGCUAUUGCACACUUAAUAGACUACUAUAUAGUAUAAACAUAACUUUUAUACACACUGCAAAACCAAAAAAUUCAUGUGACUUGCUUUGUUACAAUAUUUGUUUUACUGUGGUGGUCUGGAACCAAACCUGCAAUAUGCCUGAGGUAUAGCUAUAUUUACACCACGGAAACUGGAAAAUGCAAUUUCCAAACUAGGGCUUUUUUCUUCCCCGGGAAAGGUGAUUGUGAAAUAUUUAGCAGUAUAUCACUGCAAAUGAUAGUUCAGUCUCAUAUCUCCUUUGGGAAGGAGGAGGUCUAAUAGUGUAUGAAAUUUUCUAAACAUAGGAAUUCUGUUUAAAAUAUGCUAUGCAGCUACCAACAGCCAUUGAUUGCAAGGUUUCCUCCACUUCACUCCCUUGUCAAAGUAUCUUUUGAUGCCUGAUAAUGCAGUGAGAUAGAACUGCAAAUGUACUUUAGGUUAUAGCCAGAAUUUACAGCCUUGUUUCCCCUCUAUUGGACAUUGUUCCAAGCAACACUGUUUUCCCGGAAAUACUGCAGACUGUUUAUUUAAGGACAAAAGGGGACCAUGUGGCUUUUUGAAAUGUCACUGUCAAGCACUGGGCCAUGACAAUUCUGACCAAGUAUGGCAGUGUUCUAGUAUUAGGUCUCCAGGAAUUAUUCCCAGGAGGCGAGUAGUCUUCAAAGAUAAAAUGAUGGUGCAGAUGGUCACACAGCACGUAUGAGAGAGAUAUACCAAGAGAGACACUCCAUCUCUACAAAAAAAUAAUGAGAAGGUGGGCGUGGUGGCUCAUGCCUGUAAUCCCAGCACUUUGGGAGGCCGAGGUGAGUGGAUCACCUGAGGUCAGGAGUUCGAGAUCAGCCUGACCAACAUGGAGAAACCCUGUCUCUACUGAAAAUACAAAAUUAGCUGGGCAUGGUGGUACAUGCCUGUAAUCCCAGCUACUUUGGAGGCUGAGGCAGGAGAAUUGCUUGAACCCGGGAGGUGGAGGUUGCAGUGAGCCAAGAUUGUGCCAUUGCACUCCAGCCUGGGCAACAAGAGCGAUACUCCAUUUCAAAAUAAUAAUAAUGAUGAUAAUAAUAAUUAUUAUAAUAAGGAGAAACUUACUUGGCAAAUUCAGAGAUGGGAAAUCUUGAAAGAGUCUCUCAAUUGGAAAUGAAGGAAAUUGGGCAGCAUUUUCUUCUUCAUUUCUCACCUUCUCCUCUAGGUACCAGACAGACUCCUGGGAAGUCAGGGAAGUCAGGAGAAAAAGUUUCAGUCUCGCCUAGGACAGAUAGGACAGAAAGCUCAUGUUGACAAGCCAGAGCUGAGGGGGCUGCCACCAGUUAAGAUCUUCUCAAGCACAAGCAUUCCAGUACUAUUAGCCCUCCCUUGGACACAAAGAGUAGUGGCCAGACUGGGGUCAUGCUCAACGUGGGGUAGCAGAGAUGUCUGUGGUGCCCAGAAGUAGAGAAACAGUUCCAGGCUCCAAGCAGAGUGUUUUGAAAAAGACUUUUUUUGUGAAGUAUCAUGAAGCCCUCUCUCAGCUGCAAAGGACUCUUUAUCAGUGACAGCAGUGACUGUAGUGAUGGGUGCAGGGGACAGACCAUUCAACCCAGCUGAAAGGUAUCCUAGGGAACCAGUGAGGAGCCCUGGAUGCUGCAAUUAACGGCCUGGACAGAGGAUGGGGACAUGAAUAAUGGUAGAGUCCAGCAUUAGCACAACACUCCAUUCAUCACUGCUGAAGGGCAAAUGCAUAACCCUCAAAAUGAUCCUGGAAAGAGGAAAAGGGAGAGGAAUUGCAAGUUCCAUGGAACAGUGAUUUACCAUGCAGCAGAGGAUGUGAGCAUCUCCGAAAUAGAAGGGUCCACAUAUUUUGAACUUUAACAUAUAUAAUGAUACUUAUAAUGUGACUGUUACGGGCAGCUGAUUUUUCAUACAAUUGACAUGUGAGUAUUUUCCAGGCAGGCAUCUUAUUUCCUGUGUAUGUGCCCCCUAUUUAUGCAGGACCAUCAACAGGACCAACAUUGAGUAGAAAUCAGUCACAGCAAACCACUUUCCUUUUUAUUUCAUGUACUCUGUACCCUCCUUUAAUGGCAACAUAAUUGCAUCAUAUCAUUGGUUUGUAGUGUGGAGGCUGUGGGUCUGAUUUUUAGUUUCCCAAUCCGUGCAGAAUAUUCAGAAGAAUAGAGGGUUGGAGACCUCUAGUUCAGGUCAAAAUCAGUGUGAAAGGCUUGACUUUGGAAAGGGUAAAGAGAGUUCAAUUUAAACUGAGUCUCCAGCUAGGGGCAGGGAGAGGAAAGAGGAGUUAGUCUCCCACAAGAGGAGACUAGCAUAAUCUUUGUGCCCUAAUUAGGCAUCCUUGGGCUUAGGGAAUUACUAGGGGAUACGGGAGUGUAAUGCAGGAAAACCAAGGCAGAAGUCAUGUCCGAGAGUCUGGAUCAAUCCUUCAGGGCAGGGGGUGGAGCAAGGGAAGAAAGGGGAGCUGUGCCAAGGGGUCUACCAGUGGGCCCAGGGCAGAUCCCAAGUCCAUAAGCAAUAGGAUCAGGUCCAGGUACCACCUUCUUGAAAUCUGAGGCUGCUGCUGUACUUCCUGCCCCUGCUACCUUGGGCCUGGGGCUGUAAAUGUCAUCAGAUAGUCCACCUGGAAGGGCCUGUGGAAAGCAAAAUCAGAGAAACAAGGCAGGAGCUGGCCACUUGUGAAAUUUUUCCUGGAAACUCUGUCAUGGAAUCAUGUUUUAGAUACCAGAAGGAAGGGCUGCUCUGACUAACUGACCAUGAAUCGGAGAAGAGGCCUGCGAUGAUCUAGGCAGUGGGUUAUGGGAGAGGAAUGGAAAACUGCAGAAUGGAUUCUCCAGCCCAUUCAGCGCUCAUACUACAUGGGCAUGUUCACAGACCUGCAGGCUUUGCCUUUGUCUGUCUCCCUGCUUUUGGAAGGGAUGGCACAGCUUUGCCCCCUUUCCUGGAGGCACAGUAGUCUGACUUGAGUCUUUCGCUGUCUUCUGUAUCCAACUCAUUCAUGAAAUUAUAUGAGAUAAUUUCCAAAUAAGUGACUUUUUUGGCUUAUUUGCCCAAUUGACUUAAUUAUUGCCGGUUUAUUCUUCUUGUUUUGGAUUCCUUGAGCUGAGAGAGUGAAAAAGGGAGUUUAUUUAAGAAGAUAAGGACAGAUUAGGUUUUCAAUUUGGUGGUAUGAUGCAGUCUGCUUUCUUAACUCUAUUAUGACCUAUUUAGUGUUUGUUUUUCUCUUAUUGUGGAAGUAACAUAUGCUGAUUAUAGAGAUAUAGAAAAAGAUAAAAAGUAUCCAUUUCAAUUGACCAAUAAUGUCCUCUCAGCAAUUUGGUGUAUAUCAUGUAUUUUUAAAUAAACAGAUUGCUUUGUAAAUACACUUUAUAUCUUACUGUUGUAACAUUAAAAAAAAGGUGGUUAAAAUGGCGAGCAAGUGCAGAACAGCAGCACUUGGAAAGUAAGCUGGGGAUGGCAAAAGCCUCAAUUUCUGUUUCCACAAAGCACUCUGUUCUCUUUGUUGAUCACUGAGACCCAGAAGCUACCAUCUCCAGUGGAACUGGAACCUUUGUUUUUCUUGAUCUCUGCAUCGUGUGGCUCAGCCCCGGUUGGAACUGAAGCUUGGAAUAAAGCCACAGUGAGCUGGGUCACACUGUUUCUUAGACUUCCCCCCACAGUACCUUGUUUGGAGAGAAUUAUAACUGAAAGGGAAAAAAUUCCCUCUGGCAAGAAACUUGGCUUAGAAAUGCUCAUUUGGAGAAGCUUAUUAUUAUUAUUAUUUUUUGGUUUUGCUGUUUAAAUAAGGUCACUGCUAUAAAUCAAUGUUUGUGAGUGUUAGAGAAGACCAAGUAAAUAAAUAAAGCCCUACGUAUUUAUUGUAAACAGAAACACCCUAGAGGUUCUCCAGGGGAAGAGAGAGUGAGAGAAAGGUCACCAUUUCUUGCAUACAGAAAAUUAACUGUUUCAUUAGUUUAGAUAGAAACACAUUUUUUCUUUAAAAUUAGUUAUGAGGAAAAUAUUUCCAAGUUUGUGCCUCUUAUUAGGUGUAUGAAGUAUCAAAAAUAUUAAGUACAACUAACAGCAUUAGGACUUGUUCUCACCUCAACUCCAUCAUCUGAAUAAAACCACUGAAAAAGAGAAAAACAGCUCCUGACGUAAGGAAACUGGCCUGAUAUUUACAUCUAGUUCAUAGUGUUUGCCUGUUGGACACAAAUGAUCUCAUAGAACAUCAACAACAGACCAAGGCACUCUGACUAUAAUGGAGUGAGAGAAAAAACAAGUGAGACAAGACAACUUCAAAAUUUUGUCUAAGCACAGGCAAAACCAAAUGACCCAAAUACCAGACAUCCUCCUCUCUUGGCUAACAUGAGUGACUAUCAAAGCUUUAGCCUCUAUGUGUUCCUCUUGACUUAUAGAGAAGAUUCAUUAGGAUACUGAUAUGGUUUGGCUCUGUAUCCUCACCCAAAUCUCAUCUUGUAGCUCCCAGAAUUCCCACGUGUUAUGGGAGGGACCCAGUGGGAGAUAAUUGAGUCAUGAGGGCGGGUCUUUCCUGUGCUGUUCUCGUGAUAAUAAAUAAGUCUCAUGAGAUCUGAAGGUUUUAAAAAUGGGAGUUUCCCUGCACAAGUUCUCUUCUCUUGUCUGCUGCCAUGUGAGAUGUGCCUUUCACCUUCUGCUGUGAUUGUGAGGCCUUCCCAGCCACAUGGAACUGUAAGUCCAAU